rnacentral:tRNA from 1 species
GCCUUCGUGGUGUAACGGUAGCACACUCGGCGCGUAUUCGAGAAGCCCAGGGUUCGAAUCCCAACGAGGGCA